rnacentral:rRNA from 1 species
CAGUAGCCGCGGUAAUACGAAGGGUGCAAGCGUUAAUCGGAAUUACUGGGCGUAAAGCGUGCGUAGGCGGUUUGUUAAGUCGGCUGUGAAAUCCCCGGGCUCAACCUGGGAAUGGCAGUGGAUACUGGCAAGCUAGAGUGUGUCAGAGGAUGGUGGAAUUCCCGGUGUAGCGGUGAAAUGCGCAGAGAUCGGGAGGAACAUCAGUGGCGAAGGCGGCCAUCUGGGACAACACUGACGCUGAGGCACGAAAGCGUGGGGAGCAAACAGGAUUAGAUACCCCCGUAGUCCCUGUCUCUUAUAC